UACAGAGGCCUCGAGCGUUAGGCGGAAUCACUGGGCUUAAAGCGUGUGUAGGCGGACUUCUAAGUACCUUGUGAAAUCCCACGGCUUACCCGUGGAACGGCUGGGUAUACUGGUUGUCUUGAGCCACUUAGGGGCUACCGGAACAAAUGGUGGAGCGGUGAAAUGCGUAGAUAUCAUUUGGAACGCCAAUGGUGAAAACAGCUCGCUGGGGAAAUGCUGACGCUGAGACACGAAAGCCAGGGGAGCGAACGGG
rnacentral:rRNA from 1 species